rnacentral:lncRNA from 1 species
GCUCUGAUUAAAAUCAAUCCCAGUGUCAUAGAACUUUAAGUUGGAAAAACACACAGUUAAGUAAAUAAUUAAGCAAAUCAUUCCAGGUGUGCCAAGUGCUGUGCAGGCAAAGUACAGAGUGCUAUGGGAGCAAGUAGUAGGGACCACACCUGUUCUUAUGAGAGAGUGGCCAGGGCCAGCUUUGACAGACAAGAUGGACAAGGUGGACAGAUAGGAGUUAGCCAGGUAAAGAGAGAGGAUGAGUUAGCAGAGGAAGUCGAGUGUAUGGCAGUUGAGAUGUAUGAAGAACUCAGGAGGGGGUCAGAUAUGGUUGCAGGUGAGAUAUUGCCUGAGAAGCUGCUGAGAGAUGAGACGACAGAAGUCAGAUCAAUCAUGGUCUUACAGGCUCUCUUGAGGAGUUAGAUCUUCAUGCCAAGAGCAAUUGGAAGCCACUGAAGACUUUGAAACCAACAAUGACCAGAUUCAUAUUGUAUGAUAAGAUUUGUAUUAUAAAAAUUGUGAUUUUGGCAGUGGAAUGGAGAAUGGGUUGGAAGGGGUCACGAGUAAAGGAGACUAGUUAGCAGCCCAUGGUUGCUGAGGUCCAGGUGAGAUAUGAAGGGGGCCUGGACCAGGGUGGUGACACUGGAUGAGGAAGACUUAAGAGUCAAGAUAUACCAUAUUACCUUGAUCCUGAAAUGAUGAAGAGGUUUCAUUUGUCUCACUUGGCUGGAAGUACAGGAAGUGGUGCCUGACAACUCAUCCAGGUCUACAGUUGGAGCUCUCUGGCAACCAGAGUACAGAAACCAGAUAUAUUGACAGGUAAAACAGUAUGAGCUCCUGAUCAUGGUAAAAGCUUGGGAUAUGCCUGCUUCUGAUAUGGCUCUUUUGCCUACAGCCAUCAAUAAUAAUUUAGCAAAUCUUGUCUCUGUUUAUACUCAUACGAGUAUAUGUUAUUGAGGGGAACAAGCAAGAUUAAUUUAUUUCGAAUGCGAGAAGUCAUUUUAUGAGUUAGAUAAUAAUGUGGACCUCAUGAAACAAAAUGAUCAGUUCCUAGAUGCCCUGGAGAGGAUUACAGCACGGCACUGCAUGUCACUCUUUUUAUCUAUAGCUUUAAAGCAGAAUAUUAUUGCACUAGCAGUUUUCGUAUGCUGAGAUAUGCAGAAUGCCAAGGGAACAAGCACCAACCCCGUGAGUUCUGCUCUGGCACCUGCUUUUAGGAUCUAGAAGAAUAAGAGCUAUUGGCCUACAGGACAUUAUCAAGCUUUCCAAUUGUGAAUGUUAAUAAUAAUAAACAUCUUACA